UCUCUCUGAAUCUGCGAACGGCUCCGCAAACCAGUUGUAAACCAUAGCAAGCCCGCCUUGGUCACCCGGCCGUAAAACGCCGGGCCCGUCCUUGGCUAUAAGGAUAACCCUGGUAAUUCUGAGGCUAAUACAUGAACGUACACCCCGUCCAAAGGGCAACCGGAGGACGGGGACUGUGGGGGGGCAAACCGCAAGAAUUACCAGGAACAGACUCACAGUAAGACCACCACCCACACGGUCCAUGCUUCGCUCGGCAACCCACCCCUUCGGGGGGGGGCCCGGGCUGGUGUGUGUCCGGGUGGCUCUUGCUGGGUGCAUCUGACCUAUCAACUAGAUGGCAGCGUAACGGACAUGCUAUGGUUACAACGGGUACAGAGGAUAAGGGUUCGAUCCUGGAGAGUGGGCCUGAGAGAUU
rnacentral:rRNA from 1 species